AUGUAGAAAUACAAGAUAAAGUAAGAAUUAUACAAAAUGAAGUUAAAUUUUGGAUUUAGAGCUAUCAAAUUAGGCAGAUGAGAGUCCUCUAUUUAUAAAUACAAUAGAUAAAUCAUGAUCAUUAGAUGAAAACAAUUCGAACGCAUAAGAUUGCACUAUAUGGCACACUUUGAUUGGAUGGAACACAACAUCAGGGCUAUCAUUUCAUAUAUGAGCAUAUAUCGCAUGUGUGGCUUUCAAUCCAAUAAUCUGCCACCAAGUCACCAAUCAACAUGAGGUCAGUGGACAUUUGUUUCAGUGUGUGUAGGUCUACAAUAAGCUCAUAGAUCGAUCGAAUAAGAUGUCAACACAUCAUUGAUUAAUGAAAAGUCAAUUAGGCUCCACAAAAUCGGCAUGCAUUCUAGCACACUAGAUUUGAACCUUUGUAAAUCUUGUUUUAUACAAUCGGUGUCACUUUUAUCCUCGAUUUUUGUCGUUCCUUAGCUUUUAGGGCUUCUGGACCUGUUCAUGGUGUUGAUGCCGCCAUCUAGGACCCUGAACAUGAGUAAAAUUAUAAUUUUUCCUUUUAUACCAUUCUUAAGGUUUUUCAUUACUCUAAGGUUAAAAAUGUUGUCUCUUCUACGGUUUAAUUUCUUGUCAAUUAUGUGGUAGCGUUUACAUUUUAGAUUAGAGUGAGAAUCAUGAUGAGUAAGAUCCUGAGAUUGAGAAUGUAGAGUGAGAGACACUGAAAUGAGAGCAUAAAAUUAGAAUUAAAAUCUAAUUUAUGUCUUUAUUUUAUCUUGUAUUAGGAGUAAACAAUUUAAAAUUAUAAUUCCACUGCAAUAAAUUGCUACACUGAUAAGUGAAGUUCAUUUACAACACACCACCUCCAGAUCACUGCAACUUAACUUUCCACCCACACAGUAUCAUUUGCUGGAAAGGGUAAUUUUUAGAGACCUCCCUUGAGGUUUGGCGUAUUAACACUUAGAUAAAAAGUAUUCACGUAAUUACAGAGACAUCCCCUGACGUUAGUAUCCUGUUAACUUGACUGUUACUGAAAUGACAAAAAAUCAAAAAUGCCCUCGACUGCAAAAAUGCUCUGACAGGUACAGCUAGUGUAAUGUAAUUAGCUACAAUUUAGCAUUAAACAUCACAUUAGAGCACUAAAAAGUCUAAAAUAACCGUGAAAAGCAAAUCAUUAACAAUACAUAAUAAUAAUUAAAAAAAUAAAAUAUAAAUUAAGAGAAUUUAUACUAGCAAUGGCUAUAAAUACAGUCAUUAUCAGUUUCUCCCACUCCACAUUCUUCUUUGACUUUCUUCUCACAAUUUUUUCCUUCAUCAUUUAAUACAUCUCAAAUGCUUAAUAGUUAGUAAACUACUUUAAUAAGAUGAUAAACAAUCCAUAAUUCACUCUUCAAUGCAUUCAAAAUAGAAAGAUAACGAGUAAUUUAUGAAUCAUAAUGCUUUGCUUUACUUUUUGGCAGUGGCAGCUCCAAAUUCAAUAACAGUAAAUGAACAACGGUUCAUUCAUUACGAAUGUAAUUGUAAAGAUAGGAAUUUAUAAUUUCCAGAUAUUGGAAUUAGAAUAAUAUUCUUUAGCCAUUUACAUUGAAGCCAAAGAAUAAAAGAAAAAGUCUUCCUCUGAUAUUUCAAGUUUCAAGCCGCUAGCCAUAUUAAGAAGCCAGAUCAGAACGGAAGAACGAAUGCUACUGCCACAACAAAAGUCUGGACCAAUUGGGUAAUAGCUGCCAUGCCAAUUUCAUGACAAGCAAAAAUUAAUUAUCCUCCCCAGACUAAAACAUCAGCGAACCUACCUUUUGAAUAUAAAAUAAUAAGUAAAUAAAUCAAAGAUUUCAAUUCAUUUACAUUUGAAAUCAACUACAAUAGCAAAAAAAAAAUUCGUUCAAGAUAACUUAUCCAACAACUUCAACACAUUUUUUCAUUUUUAAUCAUUACAACAAUAAAUUAAAAAAAGAAAAAAAGAAAAGAAAAAGAGUUUAACAUCCAAGGGCUUUCUGCCAAACUAACCUUUUAUGGGUUCCAAUUCUAGUCAUUUAAGACUCUAGCCAUCGGCAAAAUUCGAUUGAUGGAACACUUGUGCCACCAUCGUAGCUUAUCGUGUUGAUGCUCAGGUUAAAAUUACUUGAAGGUGGCUGAGAUUCUAUAGUUACAAAAGCUUCUUGAGAGCCUUUCAAGCUUGAAAAUGGCUGAGUUUCGUUUAAUGAGAGGGAAAAUGGAGUUUUAGUUUAUCUCAUAUAAUAUGCAAUGUGGGUAAUUAAUUGAUUAUCAGUACCUGAAUCUGAGUCAUUGAUGCAACUUUGGGUUUUGUUUUGAAUUUCUUUCAUUUUUUUAUUUACGAAAUCACUAAAUUGGCUUGGGUUUAGUAGAUGAAAGAGAAGAUAUAUCAAAGUCAUUCUUAGAACCAAUGGAUGAUGAAGUGCUGCAGCGAUAAACUCUGACAGGUGGUUGCUUUUGAUUUUUUCAAUUUAAAAUAUCUUUUUAUGAAAUUACCCUCAUACAUUGAUAAGAUACCAAAUGGAAUACAAACGGCAUGGGAGAUUUUUGAAAUUACGGUCAUACUUUCUAUUUAAGUGUCAAUACGCUAAAACUCAGGGGAGGUCCCCAAAAAUUACCCUUGCUGGAAAUUUUGACACGCGGUUGUUGAGGGGGUCCGCUGUAAUACAGUGUUGUAUCUGAUGCAGCCGCUUAUUAUUAUUUUUUCCAUUCUACGGACGUAACCGGCCACCGAAAUCGAAACAGUCAAUUGUUAAAGGUAAUUAUGAUUCAGCUCACUCAUUUUUUAGUAAUUAUCAUUCAAACUAGAACACUUCCCAAAGACCACCUUAAUUAAAAUUGAAAAUACAUUUU
rnacentral:lncRNA from 1 species